AAUCCAUAGGUUAAUGAGGCGAACCGGGGGAACUGAAACAUCUAAGUACCCCGAGGAAAAGAAAUCAACCGAGAUUCCCCCAGUAGCGGCGAGCGAACGGGGAGGAGCCCAGAGCCUGAAUCAGCAUGUGUGUUAGUGGAAGCGUCUGGAAAGGCGCGCGAUACAGGGUGACAGCCCCGUACACAAAAGCGCAUGUGCUGUGAGCUCGAUGAGUAGGGCGGGACACGUGGUAUCCUGUCUGAAUAUGGGGGGACCAUCCUCCAAGGCUAAAUACUCCUGACUGACCGAUAGUGAACCAGUACCGUGAGGGAAAGGCGAAAAGAACCCCGGCGAGGGGAGUGAAAAAGAACCUGAAACCGUGUACGUACAAGCAGUGGGAGCACCCUUCGGGGUGUGACUGCGUACCUUUUGUAUAAUGGGUCAGCGACUUAUAUUC
rnacentral:rRNA from 1 species